GCGGGCAUAGUUCAGUGGUAGAACGUCUCCUUGCCAAGGAGAAGGUCACGAGUUCGAGUCUCGUUGCCCGCU
rnacentral:tRNA from 1 species